GGAGGACCCUUGGCACACGGAGCGACAGGGGCCUCCCCCACAGACACCUCAUUUUGGGAAAGAAGAAUAACUGGAAAUUUUAAGAAGUUACUAUCUCUGCUAUGGGGAUGGAUAGUCAGACAGCAAUGUUCACAAAUUACUCUUGAAACUUGAUGCAAACAACCUGUUUAAAAACUGAUGUAACGAGAGGAAUUUCAUGGAUGCAAAUGAACACCUGUGAAAAUUCUUCGGCAAGAACUGUUUCAUUUAGCAACACCAGGCUGUACAGGAGGCAUGGCUGGGGAGGCCUCAGAAAACUUACAAUCAUGGCAGAAGGUGAAGGGGAAGCCAGCACAUCUUCAUAUGAUGGCAGGAACUUUAUAUGUUAUAGAAGUUAGCCCCAAGAAUGAAAUCGUGUCCUUUGCCAAAACAUGGAUGGAGCUAGAGGCCUUUAUCCUAAGGUGCUCUAUGCUUAGCCCAUCAUAGAUUGUGGCCCUUCAUUCCUGCAUUUGAUGAAUCCAGGGAACCCUCUCUCCAACACCCUUGGCCUCUCUGCAACUUUCUAACAUCAGGCAGAGUCAGAGGCACCAUCCCCAGAAGCUACAAAUCUUCAGCAUUCUCCACUCUGUGAAGUCAGAGGAAUGGCGGGACCAUAGCUCUGAGCUCAUUGGCAAAUACAACUAAUUUCAAUUUCUGGAAUGGAAGCAGUCAGAUAUUCUUCUGACUGCACGCGUAUGUGGGAGUGCCAUGUUGAAGAGUGGAAAAUAUGGAAGAUCAGUCCCUACAAACUUAAUAGGAGAAUGACAUUCAGAUUUCCCGAGUAUUUUGCAUGUCCAACUGAAAACUGAAGUAGGUUUAUGAGAGAAUGCACGCCUACCUGGAUGGGUCUGGGGAGUGUGUCACUGUCACCGCAGAUAAUUGACAAGGGCUGAUCAAAUAGCGAUGCUUUCAAGUCUGUCUCCAAAGCCCCAGAAAAAUCUGAUGCAGGGGAGAGCCUUCUCAUGAGAAAGGGCCAGGACAGCACCUUCUUUCUCUUCUUAACUUCUACAGCCAAGAAAACAAGGCAACGAGAAAAAUUAGACUACAGUGUUAAGAAGCAAAGAUCCAGGUAAGAAAAUGGGUAUCGUUGGCCGCAUAAUGUGGUCAAUAGUAUGCGAUGUGAGAAAAAUAAUUUUGAAAACUUGAGAAAGCAAAGGGCGUGAAUCUUAAUCUAGAAAAACCAACCGAUAAACAACCACACUGUUACCAGGGCAACCAGUUCCCUAAACAGCAACACCAGAGUUCCUCAAGGCCUCCACCUUUCCUGUUUUCACUCUUUCCAGCUGUUUGCUACAGAAAAUUAGCAAAACCUAACUGUGCUGAUCAUAAACAACCAUCUUAACCUACUGGCCUGAAUAACUAUAGAGGAAAUUUCUGAUAUGAAAUAGAUUAUUUUGAUUUCCUCCUUUAACUGGCGAAGAAAACGAAACUUAAAAGGUGAGGAAGUGACUUGCUGAAUAUCUUUUCGAAGGCACAUAGCAGGGCUGGCUCCAACCCUUUGCAGCCACGCAGGCACUAAACAGCCACUAGAGGGAGCUAACACCAUUUUUCCUUCCAGGUGACUGGUCACCUUGGGUUUUCCAGGUUGCUGCUUUAGGACAGAGGCAAAUACGAAUCGCUGCGGGAAGCCUUGAACCUAGAUCUGGCAACUGGGAAUUAUCAGCAAAACGUUAUCAAGAUAUUCUGUCCUUCUGAAAUCCACAAGAUGUGUGUGCAAUGGAUAUUGCAAUCUCAAACAUUUCCUUCUUUCUUUUCUUUUCCUUCCUUCCUUCCUUCUCCUUUCUUACUAAUUAUAAAGGCUAUAUUUUCUAAAUGCA
rnacentral:lncRNA from 1 species